UACGUAGGGUGCAAGCGUUGUCCGGAAUUAUUGGGCGUAAAGAGCGCGCAGGCGGUCUAUCAAGUCAGAUGUGAAAUAUCCCGGCUUAACCGGGAGGGGUCAUUUGAAACUGGUAGACUAGAGUACAGCAGAGGAUAGCGGAAUUCCUGGUGUAGCGGUGAAAUGCGCAGAUAUCAGGAGGAACACCAAUGGCGAAGGCAGCACUCUGGGACGUGACUGACGCUGAGACGCGAAAGCGUGGGGAGCAAACAGG
rnacentral:rRNA from 1 species